GAUGAACGCUAGCUACAGGCUUAACACAUGCAAGUCGAGGGGAAACGAUAGAGAAAGCUUGCUUUUUCUAGGCGUCGACCGGCGCACGGGUGAGUAACGCGUAUCCAACCUGCCCACCACUUGGGGAUAACCUUGCGAAAGUAAGACUAAUACCCAAUGAUAUCUCAAGAAGACAUCUGAAUGAGAUUAAAGAUUUAUCGGUGAUGGAUGGGGAUGCGUCUGAUUAGCUUGUUGGCGGGGUAACGGCCCACCAAGGCGACGAUCAGUAGGGGUUCGGAGAGGAAGGUCCCCCACAUUGGGACUGGGACACAGCCCAAACUCCUACGGGAGGCAGCAGUGAGGAAUAUUGGUCAAUGGGCGAGAGCCUGAACCAGCCAAGUAGCGUGCAGGAUGACGGCCCUAUGGGUUGUAAACUGCUUUUAUAAGGGAAUAAAGUGAGUCUCGUGAGACUUUUUGCAUGUACCUUAUGAAUAAGGACCGGCUAAUUCCGUGCCAGCAGCCGCCGUAA
rnacentral:rRNA from 1 species